rnacentral:rRNA from 1 species
GACGAACGCUGGCGGCGUGCCUAAUACAUGCAAGUAGAACGCUGAAGAGAGGAGCUUGCUCUUCUUGGAUGAGUUGCGAACGGGUGAGUAACGCGUAGGUAACCUGCCUUGUAGCGGGGGAUAACUAUUGGAAACGAUAGCUAAUACCGCAUAACAAUGGAUGACACAUGUCAUUUAUUUGAAAGGGGCAAUUGCUCCACUACAAGAUGGACCUGCGUUGUAUUAGCUAGUAGGUGAGGUAAUGGCUCACCUAGGCGACGAUACAUAGCCGACCUGAGAGGGUGAUCGGCCACACUGGGACUGAGACACGGCCCAGACUCCUACGGGAGGCAGCAGGAGGGAAUCUUCGGCAAUGGGGGCAACCCUGACCGAGCAACGCCGCGUGAGUGAAGAAGGUUUUCGGAUCGUAAAGUUCUGUUGUAAGUCAAGAACGGGUGUGAGAGUGGAAAGUUCACACUGUGACGGUAGCUUACCAGAAAGGGACGGCUAACUACGUG